AAGAUGUCCUCACCACGUUAGUG
rnacentral:piRNA from 1 species